rnacentral:rRNA from 1 species
AACGCGAAGAACCUUACCUGGUCUUGACAUCCACGGAAGUUUUCAGAGAUGAGAGUGUGCCUUCGGGAACCGUGAGACAGGUGCUGCGUGGCUGACGUCAGCUCGUGUUGUGAAAUGUUGGGUUAAGUCCCGCAACGAGCGCAACCCUUAUCCUUUGUUGCCAGCGGUCCGGCCGGGAACUCAAAGGAGACUGCCAGUGAUAAACUGGAGGAAGGUGGGGAUGACGUCAAGUCAUCAUGGCCCUUACGACCAGGGCUACACACGUGCUACAAUGGCGCAUACAAAGAGAAGCGACCUCGCGAGAGCAAGCGGACCUCAUAAAGUGCGUCGUAGUCCGGAUUGGAGUCUGCAACUCGACCCCAUGAAGUCGGAAUCACUAGUAAUCGUGGAUCAGAAUGCCACGGUGAAUACGUUCCCGGGUCUUGUACACACCG